CCCGCUGAACUUAAGCAUAUCGCUAAGCGGAGGAAAAGAAACUAACAAGGAUUCCCUUAGUAGACGGCGAGCGAAGUGGGAAGAGCUCAUAUAUUGAAAGCUGGCGUCUCUACGAGCGUCUCGCGAUUGUAAUCUAUAGAGGCGUUUUCUGUGCUGGACACGUGUCCAAGCCCCUUGGAACAGGAUAUCAAAGAGGGUGACAAUCCCUUACUUGACACGACAACCAGUGCUCUGUGAUACGUCUUCUACGAGUCGAGUCGUUUGGGAAUGCAGCUCAAAAUGCGUGGUGAAUUCCAUCUCAAGCUAAAUAUUGGCGAGAGUCCGAUAGCGAACAAGUCCCGUGAGGGAGAGAUGAAGAGCACUUUGGAAAGAGAGUUAAACAGUAUGUGAAAUUGUUGAAAGAGAAACGAUGGAGGUCAGUCGUGUCUGUGGGAUUCAGCCGUCUCUGGCGGUGUACUUCCCACAGACGGGUCAACAUCAGUUUUGUCUGGCGGAUAAAGGCAGGAGGAAGGUGGCACCACCUGGUGUGUUAUAGCCUCAUCUAGGAUACGCUGUCCGAGACUGAGUAAUGCAGCUCGCCUUUAUGUCCGGUGUUCGCCCGCGUUAGAGCCUAGGAUCUCGACAUAAUGGCCUUCAUCGCCCCUUCUUGAACCACG
rnacentral:rRNA from 1 species